rnacentral:rRNA from 1 species
CAGUCGCCACGGUAAUACGAAGGGGGCUAGCGUUGUUCGGAAUUACUGGGCGUAAAGGGCGCGUAGGCGGCGAUGAUAGUCAGAAGUGAAAGCCCCGGGCUCAACCUGGGAAUUGCUUUUGAUACUGUAUUGCUCGAGUUCGGGAGAGGUGAGUGGAAUUCCCAGUGUAGAGGUGAAAUUCGUAGAUAUUGGGAAGAACACCGGUGGCGAAGGCGGCUCACUGGACCGAUACUGACGCUGAGGCGCGAAAGCGCGGGGAGCAAACAGGAUUAGAUACCCCCGUAGUCCCUGUCUCUUAUAC